ensembl:lncRNA
GGCUGCUUGAGAUAGAUAUGAAUUCUUAGAAGCAAAAAGGAAUGUUUUUGUUUCUUUGGUGUGUGUGUGUGUGUGUGUGUGUGUUUGAGAGAAAGGGGGGAUGGGGUGGGUGAGGGAGAGGGAGAAUCUUAAGCAGGCUCCAUACCCAGCACCCAGCCUGAUGUGGGGAUCGAUUUCAUGACUAUGAGAUCAUGACCUGAGCCAAAACCAAGAGUCAGAAGCUUCACUGACUGAGCCACCCAGGCACCCAAAAAAGGAGUGUUAGAAGGAGUGAACGGUACAGAGAAUUAAAUGCUGCUAAGGUUAUUUUUAAUGUCAACAUUCAAUAACUAAUUAUGGAAUGGUAAAUAACUUUAUCUGGUUUUGAAACAUUAAAUGGUAUUUCUGCCUUCUUAAUUAUUAAGCUGAUGAAAAUACUAUAUGUUGAAUUAGGACCUGAUUUACCAAAUACAGUUUUUUUAAACAUUGAAGAGAAAGACGUGGUUUCUUUUAGAAAGUUUCUGUUUUAAAAUACAGUCUGGAGAUACAUAAAGAAGGGAGAAGCACUGGCAGAUGCUGAACAUAAUGGCCCUCGUCUCGUAACAGACAAGAAGUGUAAGCUCCCUUAACAGGCUGUUAUUUGGGAACUAACCAACAGACACUGUGUGAGGCUCUUCUACAAGCUGAAUAUCUGAAGAUGUUAAAACCUCCCUGUGGGAUUGGCCUUCUUUUUUCUUAAUUUUGAGAUGGAAAAACACUGUUUUGAAUUUCUUCUUCGCUCCAGUUGGCCAGCUUGGUUGAAAAAAGGAGCGAUGUUUCCAGCCUCAUGGAUGAUCCAAGGAAGUUAUCCGCAGCUUUCAGGAAGAAGCUGGAGCCAGUGGAAAUGUUACAACCCUGAAAGGGGAAUAAUGGAACAGGACUGAAGCUUUUAGGAUUAUAGCACUACCUCCCAUACAACUGAAAGGAAAUGGAUAACUAUGUGUGGAAACAGAGGUUUUUAAUAUUCUUCACUCCAAAAGACCUUGAUCAUAGUAAUUUCCACGUUCUGCUUACAAGUGGUUACACUCUUCAAGACUUCAAACUUCUCAUCCUUCACCUGCCCAGACCAACUCUUGGUCAAAAACAUAAAGGAAAUCCUCAUGAAGACUUCUGGGACCAAACUUUGGGAUAGCCUACUAUUUUCCAGUAGUAUAUUCUGCAAAUUUCAGCUGCUUUUGAAAACUAAAUUCCAAUGGUUGUGCCCUCAGCUCAGAAAAACUACCUCUAUUUCUGCUUGACUUACAUUUUUUGGCCAUAGUUUUGAGUGCAUUAAUGUUGACAUCCAGACUGAAGGUAAGGCCCUCCUGAUUUGUCUCCCUCCUAUCAAGCUUCAGAGUUAUACACUACCUGUUUUCCUACACUUAAAAAAAAGAUUUGCCUUACAUAUGUGGUCAAGUUUUAUGGUUGUUUACUGUGUUAGAGUUAAGUCCAGCACCAGUACCUCCAAAAUGUGCUGAAGCAAAACUGUCAUUAAUUAAAAUGUUAUCUUACUAGUUUAAAGUCUAAUAAUUGCAUUGUGUAAUCUUCAUUUUAUUGUUUCAAUCCC